rnacentral:rRNA from 1 species
UCCUAAUUUGGCUAGCGUUGUUCGGAUUUACUGGGCGUAAAGCGCACGUAGGCGGAUAUUUAAGUCAGAGGUGAAAUCCCAGGGCUCAACCCUGGAACUGCCUUUGAUACUGGAUGUCUUGAGUAUGGAAGAGGUGAGUGGAAUUCCGAGUGUAGAGGUAAAAUUCGUAGAUAUUCGGAGGAACACCAGUGGCGAAGGCGGCUCACUGGUCCAUUACUGACGCUGAGGUGCGAAAGCGUGGGGAGCAAACA